rnacentral:rRNA from 1 species
AUUGAACGCUGGCGGCAUGCUUUACACAUGCAAGUCGAACGGUAACAGGCCGCAAGGUGCUGACGAGUGGCGAACGGGUGAGUAAUGCAUCGGAACGUGCCCAGUCGCUGGGGAUAACUACCCGAAAGAGUAGCUAAUACCGCAUACGAUCUAUGGAUGAAAGCGGGGGACCGUAAGGCCUCGCGCGAUUGGUGCGGCCGAUGUCAGAUUAGGUAGUUGGUGGGGUAAAGGCUCACCAAGCCAACGAUCUGUAGCUGGUCUGAGAGGACGACCAGCCACACUGGGACUGAGACACGGCCCAGACUCCUACGGGAGGCAGCAGUGGGGAAUUUUGGGCAAUGGGCGCAAGCCUGAUCCAGCAAUGCCGCGUGCAGGAAGAAGGCCUUCGGGUUGUAAACUGCUUUUGUACGGAACGAAACGGCUCCGGUUAAUACCCGGGGCUAAUGACGGUACCGGAAGAAUAAGCACCGGCUAACUACGUG